rnacentral:rRNA from 1 species
UACGAACCGUCCAAACGUUACUCGGAAUCACUGGCUUAAAGGGUGCGUAGGCCGCGCGGAGGGUGGGAUGUGAAUCCCCGGCUCAACCGGGGAAUAGCGUCCCAAACCGCCGUGCUCGAGGGAGACAGAGGUGAGCGGAACUGAUGGUGGAGCGGUGAAAUGCGUUGAUAUCAUCAGGAACACCAGUGGCGAAAGCGGCUCACUGGGUCUUUCCUAACGCUGAGGCACGAAAGCUAGGGGAGCGAACGGG